CCUCGCCGUGGAGAGACUGGUUUCAGACCGCCCUCAGGAAUUUUACGUCAUGUAGAUACGGUUUCAUGGUCACAUAAUGACAUGCAGAUUAUCUAGGUAGUUGUCGCUAAUUGCCUAUUUUGUUUCUUGAGGUCUCGAGCCGGAUGCCUCAGUCGUUGAGAAAUCGUGAAAGAGCAGGUUCAGUCGCUGUUGCCUCUCACUUUCCAGCUCGUCCGUUUGCUGCUGUAUUUUCUCCAAGAGGCCGAAAUAUUUGUUGACACCGUUUCCUUGGUGCUUUGUCUUCUUUCUUUGUACUCUCCGCCCAAAGACAUCUCUGACCACCUUUCCGACGUCGGCUUCGAGUAGAGGAGGCUUCUGGUGUGAUUGCAAUAGUAUACUUACUUCUGCUUAGACAUCGUUUGUUAACGAACCUUCAGACUGCGUGUCGAUCUCAUAAUGAUUUUCAAACCUGCGUAAGUUGUACGUUUGAGAUCUCAAUGCCUAGUGACGGAUUCCAUUAGUGAGUCUAGAAUAAUAAUUACCAUUCGUGAAGUAAAGCUGU